GCAAAUUCUCUAUAGAGAAUUCAAAAAUCGAGCGUGAGGGCGGCGCGUGCGGUUGUGCGAAGAACUAGUAGUGAACAACUAGCGAAUCUGGCGGAAAGACAUGCAAACGGCUUUUGACAGUUCUCGCGUGGAGCAAUUUCCACGAAUUUACUCGCGCAGUUUUUGUGAAAAAUCCGGAAAAUAGUGAAGAAAGUUCUUUAAAAACAAGUGCAAAGGUGUGAGAAAACUCUUAAUGAUAGAUCUUAGUGGUGGCAAGUGAAAAAAAUGAUGUGCAUUGUGAGAAAUUGCAAAAACAGCGACCAGCGAAAUCCUCUGGGGGUGUCAUUCCACAGAUUUCCAGUAAUUUUAGAACUGUGCGCAACUCGUCUGAAGCUCUCAGUUGCACUUGUGGACCGAAAUAAAGCCGUAUGCAGCCUCCACACUUCAAUCCAUAAAAUAUUUCACGGAAAAGUGCCUCAAAAGUGAAGCGCUCGAAGUACGUGCGAUCCUUUGCUAAAGACUCCCUACCAAUCGCAUUCAUUGGUACCACAUCUUUUGAUGGAAAGCAAUAUGCAGAACUACUUGAGUGUGACCAUCUCUGUUCUCACAUGUCACGAUAAAGAGCCUAUUUUUAUUUUAGAUGGAAACAGUCAAUGAGAAUGGAUAUGCAACAUCAUACGGUGUAAGAAAUCCAGGCAAAGGACACAUGAAGAUGUCAAUCGUAUUACCAAAGCUGAUUCGAAAUAAGUUUUGAAAGUAUUAUAGAAACAAAUUCUACUCCAAUGCAACGAAUAAGUUAGAGUUAGCAAUUAUGUUUUAUUAUUUCUUACUAUUUUUAUGCAGAAUUAAGAAAAAUGAUGGACUUGAUCUUUAAUUGUUUCGAA